UGAGAAGCCGGAGAGUCUCCGGUUAGUUGUUUGCUGGAGUGUUUUCCAAUACGCUGAUCAUUCAGCCUCUGUUUCCCAAACUUUCUUCAUUUUCCCAUACGUAACAAAUUUCAAUACAUUUCUUAUUAACAGCUUCUUCGAUCUUGUGAAAACAUUGUAUCGCAUUCUUCAGAAUUUGCAAAAGCUACUCAGCCUACUAAACUACGUGUUGGAUACCUUUGAGAGUGAGAUGGUGCUUCGUAGCAAAUUGUCUCGUGGUCUCAAUAUCUUUAAUCUAUUUGUUGAGUUGGUAAUUAUCUUUGAAAGAAUGGUCAAAGCUAAAUAUGCUUUAAUGAUCUAGUUUAUAAUGAUCUAGUAUCUCGUUUGUAUUAUUUGUUUUUGUUUUUAAGUCAUUUUAUGAAUAAUAAAUUUAAUAUUGCAGCAGCUA